UACGAAGGGGGCUAGCGUUGUUCGGAAUUACUGGGCGUAAAGCGCACGUAGGCGGAUAUUUAAGUCAGGGGUGAAAUCCCAGAGCUCAACUCUGGAACUGCCUUUGAUACUGGGUAUCUUGAGUAUGGAAGAGGUAAGUGGAAUUGCGAGUGUAGAGGUGAAAUUCGUAGAUAUUCGCAGGAACACCAGUGGCGAAGGCGGCUUACUGGUCCAUAACUGACGCUGAGGCGCGACAGCGUGGGGGAGCAAAC
rnacentral:rRNA from 1 species